GAUGAACGCUGGCGGCGUGCCUAAUACAUGCAAGUCGAGCGAACAGACGAGGAGCUUGCUCCUCUGACGUUAGCGGCGGACGGGUGAGUAACACGUGGUUAACCUACCUAUAAGACUGGGAUAACUUCGGGAAACCGGAGCUAAUACCGGAUAAUAUAUUGAACCGCAUGGUUCAAUAGUGAAAGACGGUUUUGCUGUCACUUAUAGAUGGAUCCGCGCCGCAUUAGCUAGUUGGUAAGGUAACGGCUUACCAAGGCAACGAUGCGUAGCCGACCUGAGAGGGUGAUCGGCCACACUGGAACUGAGACACGGUCCAGACUCCUACGGGAGGCAGCAGUAGGGAAUCUUCCGCAAUGGGCGAAAGCCUGACGGAGCAACGCCGCGUGAGUGGUGAAGGUCUUCGGAUCGUAAAACUCUGUUAUUAGGGAAGAACAAAUGUGUAAGUAACUAUGCACGUCUUGACGGUACCUAAUCAGAAAGCCACGGCUAACUACGUG
rnacentral:rRNA from 1 species